rnacentral:rRNA from 1 species
GACGUAGGGCGCGAGCGUUGUCCGGAUUUAUUGGGCGUAAAGAGCUCGUGGGCGGCUUGUCGCGUCGUCCGUGAAAACUUGGGGCUCAACCCCAAGCUUGCGGUCGAUACGGGCAGGCUAGAAUUCGGUAGGGGAGACUGGAAUUCCUGGUGUAGCGGUGAAAUGCGCAGAUAUCAGGAGGAACACCGGUGGCGAAGGCGGGUCUCUGGGCCGAUAUUGACGCUGAGGAGCGAAAGCGUGGGGAGCGAACAGG